rnacentral:rRNA from 1 species
UACGUAGGGGGCAAGCGUUAUCCGGAUUUACUGGGUGUAAAGGGUGCGCAGACGGUUUGGCAAGUCAGAAGUGAAAACCUAAGGCUCAACCAUAGGAUUGCUUUUGAAACUGUUAAACUAGAGUGUCGGAGGGGUAAGUGGAAUUCCUAGUGUAGCGGUGAAAUGCGUAGAUAUUAGGAGGAACACCAGCGGCGAAGGCGGCUUACUGGACGAUAACUGACGUUGAGGCACGAAAGCGUGGGGAGCGAAC